UUGGCCCUGUAUCAAGGCUGGCAGUUUGCUGAAGCUGUCGGUUUCCAGCAAGAGCUUAAAGAACUGUCUUUCUAUGGUCUAUUGGACAUUUCAGAACUUUGGAAGUGUAAUUGCAAUUCAUUAGAAAGAAACAUCA